CUACUGUCAAAAGUAUUUUAAUUCAUAAUAUCAAAAAAAACUGUUGUUUCUUUUGGUUUUUAAUUCAAAAAUAUAUUUUUCAAACGCUCAAGCUAAUAAAAAUGUGUUUUUUGAGUUAUAACUUAAUACUAGUAGAUUGUAAAUCAACGUUCUAUGAACAAAUGUGUAAAUCACACAAAAACAUCAAAAGAUGUAUAGACAAGAAAUUCAUAAAAAAGUUUAAGAAACCUGCUCUCUGGUAGAACAAUCUUAUAUAAUAGAAUCAUGGCAAUCAUUCAAGGAAUUUCAAAAUAAAAGGAAUGUCUAAUUUAAAAAAAAAAAACAAAGUGAGAUCGAGAAAAGCACAAAACACGACAAAAUUGCUUUCAAAUUCGAAUUAGUUCUUAAUAUGAAAUUGCACAUCCAUAAUCAUUCACAUGGUUUCAGUCUCUGUCGCAAAAUAUAUUUUAAAUAUAAUACCAAAGCGGCUGCUGAAAAAUUAAUGCAUUAACAUGCGCGACAAAUCGACAAAUCAAAAUGAACGAAAAUUCUAGUCCUACUAGCAAUGGAAGGUCUUAUAAUAAAAAUGUGUAAAAAUACACCUAUCACGGGUACGAUGUGCACACAACUAGCAUUAUAAAAUUUCGAAAGAUGUCAUAUAAAUGGGAACGAAAUACGCACUAGUAUUUGUCACGAGAAGCAAGGAGUUGUUAGAAUAAAAAAAAAUCAAAUAAAAAAUCACAUGCCAAGUUAAUCCGUAAA